GAUGAACGCUAGCUACAGGCUUAACACAUGCAAGUCGAGGGGCAGCAUGGUCUUAGCUUGCUAAGGCCGAUGGCGACCGGCGCACGGGUGAGUAACACGUAUCCAACCUGCCGUCUACUCUUGGACAGCCUUCUGAAAGGAAGAUUAAUACAAGAUGGCAUCAUGAGUCCACAUGUUCACAUGAUUAAAGGUAUUCCGGUAGACGAUGGGGAUGCGUUCCAUUAGAUAGUAGGCGGGGUAACGGCCCACCUAGUCUUCGAUGGAUAGGGGUUCUGAGAGGAAGGUCCCCCACAUUGGAACUGAGACACGGUCCAAACUCCUACGGGAGGCAGCAGUGAGGAAUAUUGGUCAAUGGGCGAGAGCCUGAACCAGCCAAGUAGCGUGAAGGAUGACUGCCCUAUGGGUUGUAAACUUCUUUUAUAAAGGAAUAAAGUCGGGUAUGCAUACCCGUUUGCAUGUACUUUAUGAAUAAGGAUCGGCUAACUCCGUGCCAGCAGCCGCGGUAAUACGGAGGAUCCGAGCGUUAUCCGGAUUUAUUGGGUUUAAAGGGAGCGUAGAUGGAUGUUUAAGUCAGUUGUGAAAGUUUGCGGCUCAACCGUAAAAUUGCAGUUGAUACUGGAUAUCUUGAGUGCAGUUGAGGCAGGUGGAAUUCGUGGUGUAGCGGUGAAAUGCUUAGAUAUCACGAAGAACUCCGAUUGCGAAGGCAGCCUGCUAAGCUGCAACUGACAUUGAGGCUCGAAAAUGUGGGUAUCAAACAGGAUUAGAUACCCUGGUAGUCCACACGGUAAACGAUGAAUACUCGCUGUUUGCGAUAUACAGCAAGCGGCCAAGCGAAAGCGUUAAGUAUUCCACCUGGGGAGUACGCCGGCAACGGUGAAACUCAAAGGAAUUGGCGGGGGCCCGCACAAGCGGAGGAACAUGUGGUUUAAUUCGAUGAUACGCGAGGAACCUUACCCGGGCUUAAAUUGCAGAUGAAUUACGGUGAAAGCCGUAAGCCGCAAGGCAUCUGUGAAGGUGCUGCAUGGUUGUCGUCAGCUCGUGCCGUGAGGUGUCGGCUUAAGUGCCAUAACGAGCGCAACCCUUGUUGUCAGUUACUAACAGGUUCUGCUGAGGACUCUGACAAGACUGCCAUCGUAAGAUGUGAGGAAGGUGGGGAUGACGUCAAAUCAGCACGGCCCUUACGUCCGGGGCUACACACGUGUUACAAUGGGGGGUACAGAGGGCCGCUACCACGCGAGUGGAUGCCAAUCCCCAAAACCUCUCUCAGUUCGGACUGGAGUCUGCAACCCGACUCCACGAAGCUGGAUUCGCUAGUAAUCGCGCAUCAGCCACGGCGCGGUGAAUACGUUCCCGGGCCU
rnacentral:rRNA from 1 species